GGGGUGUACUUUAUUCUGCCACCUCCAUUUCCACAUUCAUUGUUGGAGCCACACACACAAAGUGACCUGACGAUGACAUUUGUGCUACCUUCCAUACCUUCCAUUUUUUCAUUGUAAUAUGAAUAUUGGAUAUGUUUUAGUCAGUUUUCCAAUUUAGAAUACCAUUAGUCUUGACAACAGCACAAAUCCACAGCAGGGACUGAAUUGUAUUUUUUUCUUUUUUCUUAAAAAGUCAAGUGAGUCUUUCACUUGAAGCCAAAUGCACCCUCCAUGUGAAACCAAUGAAGUGUUGACAGAUUUGGUCAGAACAGAGGAGCCCUUAACAUAAGAAGGCUUCUAAAAACCAAGCAGAACAAGACACCAGCCUGGGUGACUUUCAGAAACUCCAAUAAUGGGAAGAAAGAAAGAGGGAAAACCAUCCUGCCCCUGCUGCGCCUCAGAUGUGGCUUCUAGCUAAUGGCUGUUUUGCUAGUAAUGCCACUUGGUGAUGAUCAAAAACAGAAGGGCAAAAAACAGGAGAAAGAGGUAGGGACUGAGGGAGACAGAGAGAAAAAGCAAAUAGCCUGAUGGAAUCCAGGGUUCAGGAGAGGCAGCUGGCAGAUUGCUUAUCAUUGGAGAUGCACAAUAUCCUGACUAUAAGAUGACUAUCAGGAAGGCGGUGACUUAGCCAGCAGAUUCAUGCCUCUUUAAGAAGACAGUACAUUUUUGGCUUUCUCUUCCUGCUGAGAUAAGGAUUCUCACGAAAAGGUGUCCUCUUCAGCCUUAUCUCAACUCUAGCAAGCUCAGAACUGAGCCGUUUUUGAGAAGUCCUGCUUAAUUACCAGGACAGAUGAUGGCCAUCUUUGCGAUAUGAAGAAAAAAAAAACAUUUUGUUUCAAUUAUCACCAUGGUGAUCAGUGUCCCUUUGGCUAAGAAUUUAAUCUUAUUUAAUUUUAAUUAAUUUCUCCUAACUGGUACUGUAAUAAGCCUACUGUACUAUUAGAGUAGGCUUAAUUAUUGUUGUCUGAGGCUACAAUAGAAAAAAAACACAACUACACAAUUUAUUUUUUUUACAGUUAAUGUCUAAUAUAAAAUACAUAUUACUGUAAUAUUGUUGAAUCCAUGUUAUAAAAGCAAUGUCACAUAAGUCUGUGUCUGUGUUACAUUCACUUCGCCAGGAUUAAUGGAGAUUUAGGCAUGACAGGAAUGAUAAAAACUUCUCUUACCAGUAGUAAAAUCAGUACUGUACAGCCUCUUAGAGCUAUUAUCUAUGACAAUAUUUAUAAUGAAAUUAAUU